UGGGGAAUUUUGGACAAUGGGCGAAAGCCUGAUCCAGCAAUGCCGCGUGUGUGAAGAAGGCCUUCGGGUUGUAAAGCACUUUUGUCCGGAAAGAAAUCCUUGGCUCUAAUACAGUCGGGGGAUGACGGUACCGGAAGAAUAAGCACCGGCUAACUACGUGCCAGCAGCCGCGGUAAUACGUAGGGUGCAAGCGUUAAUCGGAAUUACUGGGCGUAAAGCGUGCGCAGGCGGUUUGCUAAGACCGAUGUGAAAUCCCCGGGCUCAACCUGGGAACUGCAUUGGUGACUGGCAGGCUAGAGUAUGGCAGAGGGGGGUAGAAUUCCACGUGUAGCAGUGAAAUGCGUAGAGAUGUGGAGGAAUACCGAUGGCGAAGGCAGCCCCCUGGGCCAAUACUGACGCUCAUGCACGAAAGCGUGGGGGAGCAAAACAGGAUUAGAUACCCUGGUAGUCCACGCCCUAAAACGAUGUCAACUAGUUGUUGGGGAUUCAUUUCCUUAGGUAACGUAGCUAACGCGUGAAGUUGACCGCCUGGGGAGUACGGUCGCAAGAUUAAAACUCAAAGGAAUUGACGGGGUCAUAGCUGUUUCCU
rnacentral:rRNA from 1 species